rnacentral:tRNA from 1 species
UAGCUCAGUUGAUAGAGCAUGGUGUGUGCAACACCAGGGUUGUGGGUUUGAUUCCCAC